UGAGAAGGAAGACGCAGUGAACUGAAACAUCUAAGUAGCUGCAGGAAGAGAAAGCAAACGCGAUUGCCUUAGUAGCGGCGAGCGAAACGGCAGGAGGGCAAACCGAAGUGUUUACACUUCGGGGUUGUAGGACUGCGACGUGGGACUUUAAAAGGAUAGAAGAAUUACCUGGGAAGGUAAGCCAAAGAGAGUAAAAGCCUCGUAUUUAAAAUUCUUUUGAGCCCUAGCAGUAUCCUGAGUACGGCGAGACACGUGAAAUCUCGUUGGAAUCUGGGAGGACCAUCUCCCAACCCUAAAUACUCUC
rnacentral:rRNA from 1 species